rnacentral:rRNA from 1 species
AUUGAACGCUGGCGGCAUGCCUUACACAUGCAAGUCGAACGGUAACGGGUCCUUCGGGAUGCCGACGAGUGGCGAACGGGUGAGUAAUAUACCGGAACGGGCCCAGUAGUGGGGGAUAACUGCUCGAAAGAGAAGCUAAUACCGCAUACGACCUGAGGGUAGAAGGGGGGGAUCGCAAGACCUCCCGCUAUUGGCUCGGGCGAAAUAAGAUUAGCUAGUUGGUGGGGUAAAGGCCUACCAAGGAAAAGAUCAGUAGUUGGUCUGAGAGGAGGACCAGCCACACUGGGACUGAGACACGGCCCAGACUCCUACGGGAGGCAGCAGUGGGGAAUUUUGGACAAUGGGCGCAAGCCUGAUCCAGCAAUGCCGCGUGCAGGAAGAAGGCCUUCGGGUUGUAAACUGCUUUUGUCAGGGAAGAAAUCUUCUGGGCUAAUACCCCGGGAGGAUGACGGUACCUGAAGAAUAAGCACCGGCUAACUACGUGCCAGCCGCCGCGGUAA